rnacentral:misc_RNA from 1 species
GGGUCAAAUAAAAGAAAGCAAUUACUUCAUCAGCCUGAUCAAGGCAAUCCAUUUUUAUCAGAAUUUACAACAAAUGAUAAUAACAUAUACAGAAAGAGAGAGAGAUAGAGAGAGAGUUCAUGCAUCAAUUUGCCAACUAGUCUAUAUAUAUUACUGAAACAUGAACAUCUACAUUUCAAACAGAGAGACACUGGUGAAGAAAAAGUACAGAUUCACAUGGCUAUUCUUGGAGACAUUUCAAUCUCUUAGGACAUGGUUCCUCUUCCUCAUCAGAAUUAUAGGUUCUGAUGGCUAUCCUCUCACAAAGUAGCAGACGAACUCCACACUUCUUCACCUUGCAAUUCCGUAAGAGGUUUUCUUUAUAAUCUAGAGGAAAGAAUUCGAAAGUGGCCUCACUGUAUUUACCAAACCAAUCUUCAUCAAUUAUAUUAGCUUCAAAGCAAGGAUCAUCCCAUACAAACAAAUGAUCUGACUUAAAGAGAAUUGGUUUGUAAUACCAUUGAAGCCAGUUAUUCAAAUUGAAAUUCAGAUCACUGCUUCCACCGUGGUUUGUUUUGAAGUGGCAUUUGCAUCUAACAAUCAAACCGGGAUCCACAUAAUUUUCCUCAAAUUCGAGCACAACACAUAAAGCAAUUCCCUUUAAUUGACUGUAGCUUGAAUGAAGCUGCAUACUUACUGAAGAUCCCAUAUUUUGGUUGCAGAACCACAUUGGAAUUUCACCGCCAGGCAAAUGAAUUUUCACCGAACCCCUUUCAUCAUUAUAUAGUUGAUCUGACGCAGUAGCCACAACUUGAAUUCUCUGCUCUGUGCCUGCAAGAAUGCUUCUGCGAGUCUUUUGAUCCAUUUUGAUGCAAUUGGUAAAUGCAAAAUGCUUGAAAUUGCGACUUUCAAGCAUAUAAUCUAUCUCAGAGAAGUGUUUGCUGCUAAGUACACUUUCUAAUGAUGUGCAUUCAUGUGCAUAUAGAUGUUGUAGACUCCCAGGAAGCUCUGGCAGAGAGCGAAGCCUUCUGCAGUAGGCCACGUCAAGCGAGUGCAACUGAGAAAGGUGUUCAAUGCUUGCAGGUAUGCUUUCGAAGUUGUUUCCACUUAGAAAUAGCAUCUUCAAUGAGGAUAGUCUGUCUAUUGCUGUGGGAAUUUGUAAUAAACCUGCUGAAUCUUGAACUCUAAACAAUAACCUUCCGAGACUUUUUAAAUGUAUGAUAGAGGAUGGCAGUUGUUUUACAGCACUUCCACUUAUAUCUAAAUCCUCCAGAGAUUCUAAAUUAUCCAGGUUCUCUGGCAACUUGUCAAGUUUUGGACAACCAUGGAUGUGAAGAUUUUUCAGGGAUUUUAAAUUACAAAUGCUGUCCGGAAGGUUCACCAGGCUUUUGCAGUUCUGUAGUUCUAACUGAUCAAGGCCAGUUAGAUGCUCAAUGGACGAGGGUAGCUCUUUAAUCAUUGUCCCUCUUAAAUCAAGCUCUGCAAGAUUUUUCAAAUUACCAAUGCUGUUCGGAAGACUCUGAAGAUUUCUGCAGUUAGCCAAAUAAAGGUAUUUCAAACCUUCCAUAGCCUCCAAAAUUUCUGGGAAACUCUCAAGUUUCGAGCAGCCAGAUAAAUUCAGCAUUCGAAGACAUUUCAACUUGCAAAUGUGGCUUGGUAAACUUCUGAGCUUUGUGCAGCUUGUGAGAUACAAAGAGACAAGCUUGGUAAGGCACUCAAUUGCUGAGGGAACAACUUCUAUAGCAGUGUAAUUUAAAAAUAUUUCUUCCACAUUUCCUGCAAUCUCUGGGAACUUCUUGAGAUUUGAGCAACCAACCAGAUUCAAAGUUCUUACAAGCUUGGAAGCAACUGUGCUCGGAAUACAACUAAGAUUUUUACAACCUUCCAUAUUCAGAUAUUCAAGCUUGUUAAGAUUCUGAACAGAUGAGGAGACCUCAACCAAAUUUGUGCACCCUUUAAGAUUCAAACUCUCAAGUUCUUUAGCAUUUGAAAGAUCUGGGAUUUGAAUCAAAUACUCAGAGUAACUGAGAUCGAUCCGCUUCAGCUUCACAAGGUCCUGCACUCCUUCCCAGAGUUGUUCAACAUUGCUACGAGGAAGAUUGAGCUCAACAAGGUUUUCAGGACAAAAGUUAGAUGGCAAGGAUUUUGAAGGGUACCUAUACCAGUGGAGAUAUCGCAACUUAUUUGAAUGAAAUGUAAGGCCUUCAUCAGGAAAGUGCACUUUACCGAAAUUUUCAAAGUCAGAAUCAUGAAACUUGAGCAAUCUAAGAUUAUACAUCUUCUUGAAAGUAUUGGAGGUCAAGCGCAACUCUUUCGUUUGAGAGAGGUCUAAAGCUAUGCCCUCAACCUCUUGAGUCCCCGUAUUUUUUGUCAACACAUGAUAGACAUCCUCGUGGUGCCACAAUCUGCUACGUUUGCCAGGUUCUUCAAUAGAUUCUUUCUGAACAAUUUCCCAACCCAUUUCUUGUAGCAAAUCAUGCAUCCACAACUUGUUAUUUGAAAUAGUAAUGAGAGACUUAUCCACAAGAAUGUUAAUUCCUAAAUCCAUAGAGAAACCACAGCCAUCAAGUAUUCUUUUCACAAAAUAUACAUCCUCGCCUUUAAAGAAACAUGCAAUAUCAAGAAAU